UACGUAGGGUGCAAGCGUUGUCCGGAAUUAUUGGGCGUAAAGAGCUCGUAGGCGGUCUGUCGCGUCUGCUGUGAAAACUCGGGGCUCAACUCCGAGCUUGCAGUCGAUACGGGCAGGCUAGAGUUCGGCAGGGGAGACUGGAAUUCCUGGUGUAGCGGUGGAAUGCGCAGAUAUCAGGAGGAACACCGGUGGCGAAGGCGGGUCUCUGGGCCGUUACUGACGCUGAGGAGCGAAAGCGUGGGGAGCGAACAGG
rnacentral:rRNA from 1 species